CUCUGCUCUAUCUGACAAACAAAAAUAAGCAGAGAAAAAAUGAAAAUUCUCCAAUAAUAAUCCUAUGAUAUCUAGGGCUCAUAAAAAUUUCUAAAUUGCAAUUUAGCCUUUUCCCUCACACAUGACCUUGCAUAUUAUCGAUCAUUCGAACCUCUGAAUGAAGCAUAAAUUUCAUAACUAUUUUACAUUUCGUUUCCAAAUUUCCUGAAAAUUCACGCUGUUUUUAUUUUCCUGGAGAUCAGAAAAUCAAAAUUCAAGUUAAGACUUACAGGGAUACACUUUCUCCAAUUUUGUAUGGUAUGCUCUCUCAAAAGUGGGAGAAUGGCAGCCUUGGCGAGGCUUCUUGCAGCUGGAAGCAUCUCGCACACUCUUGCAGAGGAAGUAGACCGCCAGAAAUUAGCUGCAAAAUACCUGCACAGAGAAUUACGGGAGGCAGAUGAAGCAAACUUGCUCGAUGAAGAAGAUAUGCACAUGUUUGGUUUGAGGCCUAUGGCAGAUCCUUUAUAUUUGGUAUGCUGCAAUGCUUGUAAGAAGCCAAUUAAGGCCAGUCAUUAUGCCGCACAUGCAGAACUUUGUAAGUCACUUAACUACAAGGACGAAAUUGUUUCAGAAGUUGAUGGCGCUUCUGGGCAAAAGAAACUUCCAAGGAAGGACAGGAAAAAGUUACAUAUUGCUCAUGCUACUACAACAGUUCUGGAACAAGAAAAGUUUGAAUCUCUAGAUUCUGUCAUUAUUACUGAUCCAGAAUCACAUUUUGAUGAAGAGCUUCGAAUGAUUCCCUUAGCUGGAGCAAAACGAAACACAAAGUGUGUGAAUGAGACACCAAGAAUGAAUAGUUUGAAAGUUAAUCCUGAUAAUAUGGAGCGUUCAGAAACAUUGAUACUGAGUCCACCAAAACGCGUCAAAAGGGCCAUAUCUGAGAUUCAAUCAUGUCCGGACGUCAAGGCUCCAUGUAUAACACCUGAAGAUGUCCUUCAAUGUCGAGAGCUUCCAACUAGAUCAAAUGGAGCAAGUGAGAAGAUAUCGAAAGGUGUUGUUGGAAAUCAAACCUCAGAUCAAAUCUAUGAAAAUUUAGUAACCAAAGCAAUCUCAGACGUUCCUGCUCCCCUUGCAACUAAAAUGUACUAUUCUCAAAGAAACCAUUAUCUCCGAAGAGUCAUUAGUCACAUGUAUUAUGCGGAAUCAAGGAAGGAACAAAGUGGUGAAUUUAUUACUUCAGAAGAAUUUCAAGUCAAUUCAGAGCAAAAACAAACUUCAUCUCCCAGCUACCUUAACCAUGGACAAGUUGAGAACCCGCAGGUCAAUUUCAGCCACUCAUCUGUUUCUUGAUAUAAUGACGAAUGCUCGCCUCUUCAUUGUCUCAAUCCAAAGAACUGGCAUAUUUGAGAGACGAACAUUUGUUGCAUCUUGGGCAAACACUUGAUCAGAUUCACGCAGGCAAUUCGAAAUUGUACUUUGCCAAAUCACUAGGAUUCGUUCCAGCCACAAAUAUUUCAUCUCCAUUUCCUGUGACUAAUACCAUGGAACCUCACACUUCUAUUGGAAAUAUAAGGAGCAAUUACAUUCCAAACUCUUAUUCUUUUGCAGGCAGAACAGGUUAGCAAUUCCCUCUGGUAGCUAUUACAUUUUAAAAUGCUAGUUAUACCGUUAGAUAACUUGGCAAGAGAGUCGUUAACAUCAAUUGUAGGCUAUGAAUAGUAAUAUAGCAAUGCAUGGGGUCUGCAAUUGGUGUUCUGAGUGGUCCAUCUCGUCAUAACCCCAACCCUCACCCCCCAUGCAGACUAACCUUUACUUUUCAUCUAUAUUAAUAUAGUUUAGAAAUUUUCAUAGCAAUCUUGUAUCUCCAGUUUUUAUUUUAUGCACCUCUAUUAAGUGAUUUUUUUAACAUAUGUUGGGAUUUCUCUCUCUGACCACUUGAUUGGUUGAUAUUGUACUUGUGAGUUUUUGGUCCACAAUGCGACAUUUUAUUGACAGAGAUGACACACACCAGGCUGGUGUUACUGUGAAGUUCGUUCCUCGCAGGAUUCCCCGCUGUUAUAAUGUUUUGUUCAGAAUUUAGCCAGUCAGUUUCCUUUUUAAAACCAACGAUAUAAAAUUGUGUUAGGUUCUAUAGUUCUCUAGACCCAUCAAAUGACAAUUUUGUUAAGUUACGGAACCUAAUUAUUGCUGCUAUUCGAAGUCAGUACGUGGAUCGACCUAGCUGUCAUCAGGAUUUUAUUAUUAUCAUGAGAGAGAGAAGGGUUGGAGAAGAUAGGGCAUGCGAUUCUCUUGUAAAUUUUUAUCAUCAUAGUGAAUUACUGUAGUUGCAGAAGAAGAUGUAGUCUUACAUUGAAGAGAAUUUCUAUAAAUCUUGCGUGUUUUUGAGUU